GGGGAAUCCUGGGUGCUGCAUAAUAAAAAUCCCCACUAGUGUAGCACCAACUACAAUUCCGGUUGGAAAACCCCCUCUAGUCUUGAUUUCCCAACCGGAAUUGUGAAUCCAGGACUAAAGGCCCCUCUUUAGUCUCGGUCCUUUUAUCGGGAUUGAAAGACGACAUUUAGUCCCGUUACUUAUACCAACCGGGACUAAAGGGAUCGUCAGGCUGAGCCUGAGGGCACACUUCCAGUCCCGGUUGGUAUACCAACCGAGACUAAAUAUCCAUUUUUAUAUUUUAUUUUCUUUUUCUUUUCUUUUACAGUUUCUUUCCAUUCAAUUUGUUUUCCUUUUAGAUAGUUUUCAUAGACAUAUUAUAUGCUAUAUAUACUAUUGUAUGCCAUCCAUAAAUAAGAAUGAAACUAAUUAAGAGUUUAUAUGUUACAAUGAUCAUCUCCAUUCAUCAAGUUCAUAUAAACUAUCACAAUUUAAAACAAGUCAUGCAAGCACAGGUUCACUACAUCAAGUUCAUGUCCAAAUCUUCAAGUACACCACAAAGUUCAUGUCCAAGACUCCGAGUACACCCCAAAGUUUAACUUUACACCAAGUUGACGCAAGCACAAGUUGACUACAUCAAAUUGUGAAGCUAACUACGUCGAGUUAUCAAGUCGGUGUAGUGUAGAUCACCAAUGUGGUAUCCCAAAACAUCAUUGAUGAAAUCCAAGGUAGUAAGUAAUAUAAUGCACUCUCCCUUGCUUCAAAAGUAAUAAAAUGCACUCUCCCUUUCAUUCAUAACCCAAUGCAUGCAUUAUUUGGUUAAUAAUGGCUUGAAAGCUGCAAC
rnacentral:lncRNA from 1 species